GUGCGUCAUUCGCUAAGUGAAUUGUCAACAUUGAAAAUAAAAAGUGCAGAAAUUGGACAUUAUUUAUACGAUCAUGCCUCCCUUGGUUCAAUACUUUAUGGCACCCGUUGAAGCCAAACUGAACUAACCAACGGGUUUACAAACGCCCCCACACAAAGCGCGUAAAUCAAGAUAAAUGAUUUGUCGCCAAGGGCAACAGAAAUUCAAUUAGCA